rnacentral:rRNA from 1 species
AGAACGAACGCUGGCGGCACGCCUAACACAUGCAAGUCGAACGCCCAGCAAUGGGAGUGGCGGACGGGUGAGUAACACGUGGGAACGUACCUUUCGGUUCGGAACAACUCAGGGAAACUUGAGCUAAUGCCGAAUUCGCCCUUACGGGGAAAGAUUUAUCGCCGAAAGAUCGGCCCGCGUCUGAUUAGCUAGUUGGUGAGGUAAUGGCUCACCAAGGCUUCGAUCAGUAGCUGGUUUGAGAGAACGACCAGCCACACUGGGACUGAGACACGGCCCAGACUCCUACGGGAGGCAGCAGUGGGGAAUCUUGGACAAUGGGGGAAACCCUGAUCCAGCGAUGCCGCGUGAGUGAUGAAGGCCUUCGGGUUGUAAACUCUUUCGACGGGACGAUAAUGACGGUACCCGUAGAAGAAGCUCGGCUAACUUCGUGCCAGCAGCCGC